rnacentral:rRNA from 1 species
AACGUUUCGAAAGGAACGCUAAUACCGCAUACGUCCUACGGGAGAAAGCAGGGACCUUCGGGCCUUGCGCUAUCAGAUGAGCCUAGGUCGGAUUAGCUAGUUGGCGGGGUAAAGGCCCACCAAGGCGACGAUCCGUAGCUGGUCUGAGAGGAUGAUCAGCCACACUGGAACUGAGACACGGUCCAGACUCCUACGGGAGGCAGCAGAG